CCUACGGGAGGCAGCAGUGGGGAAUAUUGCGCAAUGGGCGAAAGCCUGACGCAGCGACGCAGCGUGAGGGAUGAAGGCCUUCGGGUUGUAAACCUCUUUCAGCGGGGACGAAGCGAAAGUGACGGUACCCGCAGAAGAAGCACCGGCUAACUACGUGCCAGCAGCCGCGGUAAUACGUAGGGUGCAAGCAUUGUCCGGAUUUAUUGGGCGUAAAGAGCUCGUAGGCGGCUUGUCACGUCGGGUGUGAAAACUUGGGGCUCAACCCCAAGCCUGCACUCGAUACGGGCUAGCUAGAGUGUUGCAGGGGAGACUGGAAUUCCUGGUGUAGCGGUGAAAUGCGCAGAUAUCAGGAGGAACACCGGUGGCGAAGGCGGGUCUCUGGGCAACUACUGACGCUGAGGAGCGAAAGCGUGGGGAGCGAACAGGAUUAGAUACCCUAGGUAGUCCGACGCCGUAAACGGUGGGCGCUAGGUGUGGGGAACCUUCCACGUUCUCUGUGCCGCAGCUAACGCAUUAAGCGCCCCGCCUGGGGAGUACGGCCGCAAGGCAAAACUCAAAUGAAUUGACGG
rnacentral:rRNA from 1 species